GUCAGUCAGCUGUUUCUACUAGGCCAACAAUGGAUGGGUGAUACCUGUACCAUGAAAAAAGUUUUUUUGUGUUUGUGUAACGUGUAAUGUGGCCGUUUUUCUGUUUUUAUUGUUUGGGGUUGUACGGAGGACAUAGCAUAUCCAACCAAAAUUUAUUUUCACAAGAUGCAAAUGUUAACACCUCAAUUUUGUAGCAGUACUUUUUUUAACAAUUGACCAUUAGCUCCGAUGAUGACGUUUAUGCAGAAAGCGCUCAGCUAAAGAAAUAAAUUAUUUACACACUUUGAUAUACUACAUUUUUUAUUUCCUCUGCGAAUAGUAGUAGUAGUGUAAUACUGUAGUAGUAGUUUGAAGAUCAUGGAGGGAUCUGUUUCUUAUU